GAUGAACGCUGACAGAAUGCUUAACACAUGCAAGUCUACUUGAACUUCGGUUUGGGUGGCGGACGGGUGAGUAACGCGUAAAGAACUUGCCUCACAGAUAGGGACAACAUUUGGAAACGAAUGCUAAUACCUGAUAUUAUGAUUUUAGGGCAUCCUAGAAUUAUGAAAGCUGUAUGCACUGUGAGAGAGCUUUGCGUCCCAUUAGCUAGUUGGAGAGGUAACGGCUCACCAAGGCGAUGAUGGGUAGCCGGCCUGAGAGGGUGAUCGGCCACAAGGGGACUGAGACACGGCCCUUACUCCUACGGGAGGCAGCAGUGGGGAAUAUUGGACAAUGGACCAAGAGUCUGAUCCAGCAAUUCUGUGUGCACGAUGAAGUUUUUCGGAAUGUAAAGUGCUUUCAGUUGGGAAGAAAAAAAUGACGGUACCAACAGAAGAAGUGACGGCUAAAUACGUG
rnacentral:rRNA from 1 species